GAUGAACGCUAGCUACAGGCUUAACACAUGCAAGUCGAGGGGUAACGAGAGGAAAGCUUGCUUUCCUUGUCGACGACCGGCGCACGGGUGAGUAACGCGUAUCCAACCUGCCCCCAACUAAGGAAUAACCUUGCGAAAGUAAGACUAAUACCUUAUAAUUUCCUCAGAUGACAUCUGACGAGGAAUAAAGAUUUAUCGGUUGUGGAUGGGGAUGCGUCUGAUUAGCUUGUUGGCGGGGUAACGGCCCACCAAGGCAACGAUCAGUAGGGGUUCUGAGAGGAAGGUCCCCCACAUUGGAACUGAGGCACGGUCCAAACUCCUACGGGAGGCAGCAGUGAGGAAUAUUGGUCAAUGGGCGGAAGCCUGAACCAGCCAAGUAGCGUGCAGGAUGACGGCCCUAUGGGUUGUAAACUGCUUUUAUACAGGAAUAAAGUUAGCCACGUGUGGUUAUUUGUAGGUACUGUAUGAAUAAGGACCGGCUAAUUCCGUGCCAGCCGCCGCAGUAA
rnacentral:rRNA from 1 species